rnacentral:rRNA from 1 species
GUCCUGGCAGUAAACGGUGCACGUUUGGUGUGGGAGGAUUCGACCCCUUCUGCGCCGGAGCUAACGCGUUAAACGUGCCGCCUGGGGAGUACGGUCGCAAGAUUAAAACUCAAAGAAAUUGACGGGGGCCCGCACAAGCGGUGGAGUAUGUGGCUCAAUUCGAUGCAACGCGAAGAACCUUACCUGGCCUUGACAUGCAUCUCUAAGCGCGUGAAAGCGCGUGAGUCCCGAAAGGGACAAUUUGCACAGGUGCUGCAUGGCUGUCGU